UGUGUAGUCAUGAGAUAUUGUAAAUCCAUAUGUAUCAUCUAUUUAUUUGAUCUGCUACUGCUAGUGCUCUCUGCAAUUUCAUAUGCUGAUCAAGUGCAAGCAAUGUGGUCUACAGGUACCAGCAGGGAUAUAUAGGCUAAAGCUCCAUAUUGCUGGGAUCCGUGGCCAGGUUAAUAUGGAAUCUUUAACUCUAAUCGAAGUUGCUUUGCUUGAUUUUUUAGCAGCUCAGUUCGCUUUCAACUAGCUGUCAGUGCCUGCAACUUCUUCUCUUCUCUUGGAUACAGGUAAUUGUUUUGGCGUGGUGCAGAAGCCCAGGAAAAAGCCCAGACUCUACUUUUAGGAUGAAAUGGAACAAGGAACAAACAGUGAGAAGAGAUUGGAAAUUUGAAGGCAAAUGCUGGAAUAUUUGAUGUUUUUGUUUCUAGUGUUGCUUUUGAUGCAAGAUGAAUGUAACUUGCAUGUAAAUUUUGAGGUGCUUGUCAAUGUAAAUCAUACGAUAUUGUAUUUGAUUUGAUGUUGUGGUAAAUGGUCUUACAAUUUUAGUAUAUAUAUUCUGGGCUGUAAUGACUAUUCUAAUAAAAAGAUUGAAAUUAGGCCCAAUUUGGUGGCCCACUCUGAAUUGGGCCCAUCCA